rnacentral:rRNA from 1 species
CGAAUAAGAUCUCGUAGGUGACCUGCGGAGGGACAUUACACAAAUAUGAAGGCGGGCUGGAACCUCUCGGGGUUACAGCCUUGCUGAAUUAUUCACCCUUGUCUUUUGCGUACUUCUUGUUUCCUUGGUGGGUUCGCCCACCACUAGGACAAACAUAAACCUUUUGUAAUUGCAAUCAGCGUCAUUAACAAAUUAAUAAUUACAACUUUCAACAACGGAUCUCUUGGUUCUGGCAUCGAUGAAGAACGCAGCGAAAUGCGAUAAGUAGUGUGAAUUGCAGAAUUCAGUGAAUCAUCGAAUCUUUGAACGCACAUUGCGCCCUUUGGUAUUCCAAAGGGCAUGCCUGUUCGAGCGUCAUUUGUACCCUCAAGCUUUGCUUGGUGUUGGGCGUCUUGUCUCUAGCUUUGCUGGAGACUCGCCUUAAAGUAAUUGGCAGCCGGCCUACUGGUUUCGGAGCGCAGCACAAGUCGCACUCUCUAUCAGCAAAGGUCUAGCAUCCAUUAAGCCUUUUUUUCAACUUUUGACCUCGGAUCAGGUAGGGAUACCCGCUGAACUUAAGCAUAUCAAUAAGCGGAGGAA